GCAUUGUAAAAAUGUUUGUUAUUAAAAAGAAUUUAUACAGAGAAGAUUAGCAUGGCCGCUGCACAAGGAUGACACACGAACUCAUGAAGUGUUCCAUAUUAAA
ensembl:snRNA U6 U6 spliceosomal RNA